rnacentral:rRNA from 1 species
AGGACGAACGCUGGCGGCGUGCUUAACACAUGCAAGUCGAGCGGAAAGGCCCUUCGGGGUACUCGAGCGGCGAACGGGUGAGUAACACGUGAGCAAUCUGCCCUUAGCUUCGGGAUAGCUCCGGGAAACCGGAUUAAUACCGAAUAUGACUUCGGCCGACAUCGGCCUUGGUGGAAAGUUUUUCGGCUAGGGAUGAACUCGCGGCCUAUCAGCUUGUUGGUGGGGUAAUGGCCUACCAAGGCGACGACGGGUAGCCGGCCUGAGAGGGCGACCGGCCACACUGGGACUGAGACACGGCCCAGACUCCUACGGGAGGCAGCAGUGGGAAUAUUGCGCAAUGGGCGAAAGCCUGACGCAGCGACGCCGCGUGGGGGAUGAAGGCCUUCGGGUUGUAAACCCCUUUCAGCAGGGACGAAGCGAAAGUGACGGUACCUGCAGAAGAAGCGCCGGCUAACUACGCGCCAGCAGCCGC